rnacentral:rRNA from 1 species
GUCUACGGCCAUGCUACCCUGAAAAAGCCCAAUCCCAUCUGAUUUGGAAGCUAAGCAGGGUGAGGCCUGGUUAGUACUUGGAUGGGAGACCACCUAGGAAGACCAGGUGCUGUAGGCA